UGCAAGUCGAGCGGUAACAGGGGAAGCUUGCUUCUCGCUGACGAGCGGCGGACGGGUGAGUAAUGUAUGGGGAUCUGCCCGAUAGAGGGGGAUAACCACUGGAAACGGUGGCUAAUACCGCAUAAUCUCUUAGGAGCAAAGCAGGGGAACUUCGGUCCUUGCGCUAUCGGAUGAACCCAUAUGGGAUUAGCUAGUAGGUGGGGUAAUGGCUCACCUAGGCGACGAUCCCUAGCUGGUCUGAGAGGAUGAUCAGCCACACUGGGACUGAGACACGGCCCAGACUCCUACGGGAGGCAGCAGUGGGGAAUAUUGCACAAUGGGCGCAAGCCUGAUGCAGCCAUGCCGCGUGUAUGAAGAAGGCCCUAGGGUUGUAAAGUACUUUCAGUCGGGAGGAAGGCGUUGAUGCUAAUAUCAUCAACGAUUGACGUUACCGACAGAAGAAGCACCGGCUAACUCCGUGCCAGCAGCCGCGGUAAU
rnacentral:rRNA from 1 species